GUUCGCCCCGCAAGGUCGGUAUACAGGUGGUGCAUGGUUGUCGUCAGCUCGUGUCGUGAGAUGUUGGGUUAAGUCGCGCAACGAGGGCAACGCUCGUCGUAUGUAGCCAGCACGUAAUGGUGGGAACUCAUAUGAGACUGCCGGGGUCAACUCGGAGGAAGGUGGGGAUGACGUCAAAUCAUCAUGCCCCUUAUGUCUUGGGCUUCACGCAUGCUACAAUGGCUGGUACAAUGGGCUGCAAUACCGCGAGGUGGAGCGAAUCCCAAAAAGCCAGUCUCAGUUCGGAUUGGGGUCUGCAACUCGACCCCAUGAAGUCGGAGUCGCUAGUAAUCGCAGAUCAGCAACGCUGCGGUGAAUACGUUCCCGGGCCUUGUACACACCGCCCGUCAAGUCAUGAAAGUCGGUAACUCCCGA
rnacentral:rRNA from 1 species